AUAACGGAGAGUUUGAUUCUGGCUCAGAACGAACGCUGGCGGCGUGGAUAAGACAUGCAAGUCGAACGCUGAUUGAGGGGUAGCAAUAUUCUUCAGUCGGAGUGGCGAAAGGGUGCGUAACACGUGGGUCAUUUGCCGUGAAGUUGGGGAUAACUCGCUGAAAGGCGAGCUAAUACCGAAUGUGGCCGAAAGGCUAAAGUUGGGGACCGUAAGGCCUGACGCUUCACGAUAAGCCCGCGGCCUAUCAGCUAGUUGGUGAGGUAACGGCUCACCAAGGCUAAGACGGGUAGCUGGUCUGAGAGGA
rnacentral:rRNA from 1 species